rnacentral:rRNA from 1 species
UGUUACAAUGGGGGGUACAGAGGGCCGCUACCACGCGAGUGGAUGCCAAUCCCCAAAACCUCUCUCAGUUCGGACUGGAGUCUGCAACCCGACUCCACGAAGCUGGAUUCGCUAGUAAUCGCGCAUCAGCCACGGCGCGGUGAAUACGUUCCCGGGCCUUGUACACACCGCCCGUCAAGCCAUGGGAGCCGGGGGUACCUGAAGUGCGUAACCGCGAGGAGCGCCCUAGGGUAAAACUGGUGACUGGGGCUAAGUCGUAACAAGGUAAC